GCUGGCGGCGUGCUUACACAUGCAGUCGAGGGCACUAGUGGGGCAACCUGGUAGUGACCGGCGAACGGGUGCGUAACACGUGAGCGACCUUGCCUCGUGGUGGGGGAUAGCCGGCCCAACGGCCGGGUAAUACCGCAUAUGGUAGUUUCUUCGCAUGGGGAGACUAGCAAAGCCGUGCAGCAAUGCACUGGCGCCACAGGGGGGGCUCGCGGCCUAUCAGCUAGUUGGGGGGGUAAUGGCCCACCAAGGCGACGACGGGUAGCUGGUCUGAGAGGAUGGCCAGCCACAUUGGGACUGAGAGACGGCCCAGACUCCUACGGGAGGCAGCAGUGGGGAAUCUUGCGCAAUGGCCGAAAGGCUGACGCAGCGACGCCGCGUGGGGGAGGAAGGCCUUCGGGUUGUAAACCCCUGUUGCCCGGGACGAAUGUGCAUUUUUGAAUGCAUUGACGGUACCGGGUGAGGAAGCACCGGCUAACUCCGUGCCAGCAGCCGCGGUAAUACGGAGGGUGCAAGCGUUGUCCGGAAUCACUGGGCGUAAAAGGGCGCGUAGGCGGCUCAUAAGGGCUGUGGUGAAAGUUCGGGG
rnacentral:rRNA from 1 species